rnacentral:tRNA from 1 species
GGUGAUGUAGCUCAGUGGUAGAGCACUUGCCCAGCAUGCGCAAGGCUCUGGGCUCAAUCCCCAGCAUAGCAA